rnacentral:rRNA from 1 species
UACAGAGGGGGCAAGCGUUGUUCGGAAUUACUGGGCGUAAAGGGCGCGUAGGCGGCCUGCUAAGUCGGACGUGAAAUCCCCGAGCUCAACUCGGGAACUGCGUCCGAUACUGACAGGCUUGAAUCCGGGAGAGGGAUGCGGAAUUCCAGGUGUAGCGGUGAAAUGCGUAGAUAUCUGGAGGAACACCGGUGGCGAAGGCGGCAUCCUGGACCGGCAUUGACGCUGAGGCGCGAAAGCUAGGGGAGCAAACGGG